GAGUUUCAUCCCAGAUGAGCGGGGUGAAGCACGAAAGGAAGGGAUCUGAGAGGUGAAAGGAAGGGAUCUGAGAGGAAGGGAUCUGAGAGGUGAAAGGAAGGGAUCUGAGAGGUGAAAGGAAGGGAUCUGAGAGGAAGGGAUCUGAAAGAUGAAAGGAAGGGAUCUGAAAGGUGAAAGGAAGGGAUCUGAAAGGUGAAAGGAAGGGAUCUGAAAGGUGAA